GGACUAUUGGCUCAGUUGGUCAGGGUUUAAUCCUGAUAAAGCCAAGGUUGUGGGUUUGAUUCCUGUAUGGGCCG